GUGCUUACACAUGCAAGUCGAGCGAUGAGAUCACUUCGGUGAAGGAUUAGCGGCGAACGGGUGAGGAACACGUGAAGAAUCUGCCUUCAACUCUGGGAUAACUCCGGGAAACCGGGGCUAAUACCGGAUAUGAGCCUUGGCCGCAUGGCCGGGGCUGGAAAGUUUUUCGGUUGAAGAUGACUUCGCGGCCUAUCAGCUUGUUGGUGAGGUAAUGGCUCACCAAGGCGACGACGGGUAGCCGGCCUGAGAGGGCGACCGGCCACACUGGGACUGAGACACGGCCCAGACUCCUACGGGAGGCAGCAGUGGGGAAUAUUGGGCAAUGGAGGAAACUCUGACCCAGCGACGCCGCGUGCGGGAUGAAGGCCUUCGGGUUGUAAACCGCUUUCAGCAGGGAAUAAGCGAAAGUGAAGGUACCUGCAGAAGAAGCACCGGCUAACUAUGUGCCAGCAGCCGCGGUAAUACAUAGGGUGCAAGCGUUGUCCGGAAUUAUUGGGCGUAAAGAGCUCGUAGGUGGUUUGUUACGUCGGAUGUGAAAUGCAGGGGCUCAACCCCUGACUUGCAUCCGAUACGGGCAAGCUAGAGUUUGGUAGGGGAGACUGGAAUUCCUGGUGUAGCGGUGGAAUGCGCAGAUAUCAGGAGGAACACCGAUGGCGAAGGCAGGUCUCUGGGCCAAUACUGACACUGAGGAGCGAAAGCGUGGGGAGCGAACAGGAUUAGAUACCCUGGUAGUCCACGCCGUAAACGGUGGGCGCUAGUUGUGCGAACCUUCCACGGUUUGUGCGACGCAGCUAACGCAUUAAGCGCCCCGCCUGGGGAGUACGAUCGCAAGAUUAA
rnacentral:rRNA from 1 species